CCCAGACUCCUACGGGAGGCAGCAGUGGGGAAUAUUGGGCAAUGGGCGCAAGCCUGACCCAGCAACGCCGCGUGAAGGAAGAAGGCCCUCGGGUUGUAAACUUCUUUUAUCAGGGACGAAACAAAUGACGGUACCUGAGGAAUAAGCCACGGCUAACUACGUGCCAGCAGCCGCGGUAAUACGUAGGUGGCAAGCGUUAUCCGGAUUUACUGGGUGUAAAGGGCGUGUAGGCGGGACUGCAAGUCAGAUGUGAAAACCACGGGCUCAACCUGUGGCCUGCAUUUGAAACUGUAGUUCUUGAGUACUGGAGAGGCAGACGGAAUUCCUAGUGUAGCGGUGAAAUGCGUAGAUAUUAGGAGGAACACCAGUGGCGAAGGCGGUCUGCUGGACAGCAACUGACGCUGAGGCGCGAAAGCGUGGGGAGCAAACAGGAUUAGAUACCCGUGUAC
rnacentral:rRNA from 1 species